ACUACGGGUGGCAGCAGUGAGGAAUAUUGGUCAGUGGGCGGAAGCCUGAACCAGCCAAGUCGCGUGAGGGAAUAAGGCCCUACGGGUCGUAAACCUCUUUUGCCGGGGAGCAAGGGCGGGGACGUGUCCCGGCCCGGAGAGUACCCGGAGAAAAAGCAUCGUCUAACACCGUGCCAGCAGCCGCGGUAAUACGGAGGAUGCGGGGUUUAUCCGGAUUUAUUGGGUUUAAAGGGUUCGUAGGCGGGCCUUUAAGUCAGCGGUAAAAAUACGGGGCUCAACCCCGUCCGGCCGUUGAAACUGGGGGCCUUGAGUGGGCGAGAAGAAGGCGGAAUGCGUGGUGUAGCGGUGAAAUGCAAAGAUAUCACGCAGAACCCCGAUUGCGAAGGCAGCCUUCCGGCGCCCUACUGACGCUGAGGCACGAAAGUGCGGGGAUCGAACAGGAUUAGAUACCCGGGUAGUC
rnacentral:rRNA from 1 species